CCUACGGGGUGCAGCAGUAGGGAAUCUUUCACAAUGGGCGAAAGCCUGAUGGAGCAACGCCGCGUGCAGGAUGAAGGCCUUCGGGUUGUAAACUGCUUUUAUAAGCGAGAAAUAUGAUGGUAACUUAUGAAUAAGGAUCGGCUAACUACGUGCCAGCAGCCGCGGUCAUACGUAGGAUCCGAGCAUUAUCCGGAGUGACUGGGUGUAAAGAGUUGCGUAGGUGACAUAAUAAGUAGCUAGUGAAAUCUGGUGGCUCAACCAUUCAGACUAUUAGCUAAACUGUUAAGCUCGAGACCGUUAGGGGUAACUGGAAUUUCUAGUGUAGGAGUGAAAUCCGUAGAUAUUAGAAGGAACACCAAUAGCGUAGGCAGGUUGCUGGGACGGUUCUGACACUAAGGCACGAAAGCGUAGGGAGCAAACGGGAUUAGAUACCCGAGUAGUC
rnacentral:rRNA from 1 species